rnacentral:piRNA from 1 species
UGGAAAAUGAAGUUAACACCAAAUCGCCCA